rnacentral:rRNA from 1 species
GACGAACGCUGGCGGCGUGCUUAACACAUGCAAGUCACGGGGGCCCGCAAGGGUAACCGGCGAACGGGUGCGUAACACGUGAACAACCUGCCCUCGUGUGGGGGAUAGCCAUGCUAACGCGUGGGUAAUACCGCAUACGUUCUCUGAAGGGAUUCCUUUGGAGAGGAAAGCUCCGGCGCACGGGGAGGGGUUCGCGGCCUAUCAGCUAGUUGGCGGGGUAAUGGCCCACCAAGGCGACGACGGGUAGCUGGCUGAGAGGAUGGCCAGCCACAUUGGGACUGAGAGACGGCCCAGACUCCUACGGGAGGCAGCAGUGGGGAAUCUUGCGCAAUGGCCGAAAGGCUGACGCAGCGACGCCGCGUGUGGGAUGAAGCAUUUCGGUGUGUAAACCACUGUC